UGGGGAAUAUUGGACAAUGGGCGAAAGCCUGAUCCAGCCAUGCCGCGUGUGUGAAGAAGGUCUUCGGAUUGUAAAGCACUUUAAGUUGGGAGGAAGGGCAUUAACCUAAUACGUUAGUGUUUUGACGUUACCGACAGAAUAAGCACCGGCUAACUCUGUGCCAGCAGCCGCGGUAAUACAGAGGGUGCAAGAGUUAAUCGGAAUUACUGGGCAUAAAGCGCGCGUAGGUGGUUUGUUAAGUUGGAUGUGAAAUCCCCGGGCUCAACCUGGGAACUGCAUUCAAAACUGACUGACUAGAGUAUGGUAGAGGGUGGUGGAAUUUCCUGUGUAGCGGUGAAAUGCGUAGAUAUAGGAAGGAACACCAGUGGCGAAGGCGACCACCUGGACUAAUACUGACACUGAGGUGCGAAAGCGUGGGGAGCAAACA
rnacentral:rRNA from 1 species